rnacentral:rRNA from 1 species
GAUGAACGCUGGCGGCGUGCUUAACACAUGCAAGUCGAACGGAAAGGCUCCUGCUUGCAGGGGUACUCGAGUGGCGAACGGGUGAGUAACACGUGGGUGAUCUGCCCUGCACUUCGGGAUAAGCCUGGGAAACUGGGUCUAAUACCGGAUAGGACGAUGGUUUGGAUGCCAUUGUGGAAAGUUUUUCGGUGUGGGAUGAGCUCGCGGCCUAUCAGCUUGUUGGUGGGGUAAUGGCCUACCAAGGCGUCGACGGGUAGCCGGCCUGAGAGGGUGUACGGCCACAUUGGGACUGAGAUACGGCCCAGACUCCUACGGGAGGCAGCAGUGGGGAAUAUUGCACAAUGGGCGCAAGCCUGAUGCAGCGACGCCGCGUGGGGGAUGACGGCCUUCGGGUUGUAAACUCCUUUCGCUAGGGACGAAGCGCAAGUGACGGUACCUGGAGAAGAAGCACCGGCUAACUACGUG